AGGGUUCGAUUCUGACUCAGGACGAACGCUGGCGGCGUGCCUAACACAUGCAAGUCGAGCGAUGAAAUCCUUCGGGAUGGAUUAGCGGCGGACGGGUGAGUAACACGUGGGUAACCUGCCUUGUAGAGGGGGAUAGCCUUCCGAAAGGAAGAUUAAUACCGCAUAACAUCUUUUUAUCGCAUGGUAGAAAGAUCAAAGGAGCAAUCCGCUACAAGAUGGACCCGCGGCGCAUUAGCUAGUUGGUGAGGUAACGGCUCACCAAGGCGACGAUGCGUAGCCGACCUGAGAGGGUGAUCGGCCACAUUGGAACUGAGAUACGGUCCAGACUCCUACGGGAGGCAGCAGUGGGGAAUAUUGCGCAAUGGGGGAAACCCUGACGCAGCAACGCCGCGUGAAUGAAGAAGGCCUUAGGGUUGUAAAGUUCUGUUUACGGGGACGAUAAUGACGGUACCCGUGGAGGAAGCCACGGCUAACUACGUGCCAGCAGCUGC
rnacentral:rRNA from 1 species